rnacentral:rRNA from 1 species
CAGUAGCCGCGGUAAUACGAGGGGGGCAAGCGUUGUUCGGAAUUAUUGGGCGUAAAGGGUGCGUAGGCGGUUUGGCAAGUUUGGUGUGAAAUCUUCGGGCUCAACUCGAAGUCUGCAUCGAAAACUGCCGGGCUUGAGUAUGGGAGAGGUGAGUGGAAUUUCCGGUGUAGCGGUGAAAUGCGUAGAUAUCGGAAGGAACACCUGUGGCGAAAGCGGCUCACUGGACCAUUACUGACGCUGAGGCGCGAAAGCUAGGGGAGCAAACAGGAUUAGAUACCCGGGUAGUCCCUGUCUCUUAUAC